GGCUUCACGCAAGCGUCCUUCACCCCUCCCCGGUUUUGUUUUCCACCCAAAACGCGUCUGCAGGAUUUGGAGACACCCGCCUCAUAUGCCCAGGCUCUGGAACGAGUCUUUCCGAUGUGGGACUAUUGGGCCUCACACCGAGCAGGGGUGCGGGUGGUGAAGUCCGAUGAGGAGAGGCGCCGGUGGAGGAUACCGGAGGUAGAACCCAGCAUGAGCGAGGAUGGUGGGGAACAUCAG
rnacentral:lncRNA from 1 species